CACGUAGGGUGCGAGCGUUGUCCGGAAUUAUUGGGCGUAAAGAGCUCGUAGGCGGUUGUGUCGCGGCUCGGUCGAAAACCUGCAGCUUAACUGUGGGCGUGCGGUCGAUACGGGCAUCACUGGAGUUCGGCAGGGGAGACUGGAAUUCCUGGUGUAGCGGUGAAAUGCGCAGAUAUCAGGAGGAACACCGGUGGCGAAGGCGGGUCUCUGGGCCGAUACUGACGCUGAGACGCGAAAGCGUGGGGAGCGAACAGG
rnacentral:rRNA from 1 species